GGCGGCCUGGGCGGCAGCGCCUCGGCGCUGUCGACGCUGGUCGGCACCGGCGAUUCCGUAGGCGGCACCGUUCAGGCCUCGGUGGGCGGCAGC
rnacentral:tRNA from 1 species